rnacentral:rRNA from 1 species
CCUACGGGAGGCAGCAGUGGGGAAUAUUGCACAAUGGGGGAAACCCUGAUGCAGCGACGCCGCGUGAAGGAAGAAGUAUUUCGGUAUGUAAACUUCUAUCAGCAGGGAAGAAAAUGACGGUACCUGACUAAGAAUCCCCGGCUAACUACGUGCCAGCAGCCGCGGUCAUACGUAGGGGGCAAGCGUUAUCCGGAUUUACUGGGUGUAAAGGGGGCGUAGGCGGUUUAGCAAGUCAGAAGUGAAAGCCCGGGGCUCAACUCCGGGACUGCUUUUGAAACUGUUGAACUAGAUUGCAGGAGAGGUAAGUGGAAUUCCUAGUGUAGCGGUGAAAUGCGUAGAUAUGAGGAGGAACACCAGUGGCGAAGGCGGCUUACUGGACUGUAAAUGACGCUGAGGCUCGAAAGCGUGGGGAGCAAACAGGAUUAGAUACCCGUGUAGUC